AGUAACACGUGGAUAACCUACCUAUAAGACUGGGAUAACUUCGGGAAACCGGAGCUAAUACCGGAUGAUAUUUUGAACCGCAUGGUUCAAAAGUGAAAGACGGUCUUGCUGUCACUUAUAGAUGGAUCCGCGCUGCAUUAGCUAGUUGGUAAGGUAACGGCUUACCAAGGCAACGAUGCAUAGCCGACCUGAGAGGGUGAUCGGCCACACUGGAACUGAGACACGGUCAAG
rnacentral:rRNA from 1 species